rnacentral:lncRNA from 1 species
CCAUGUCGAUCGCCCCUCUUUAUCUGCUACAGGCGCCAUCAACUUAGAGCUAAACCACGAGCAGAAAGAAGAAAAUAUUAAAAAAAAUAAUAUGCGUAUAUCAGAGUAUCAGGUAUAUGUCGAACACGCUACAAGGCGCUUAAAAACUUUCAGAGUCAUUGGAAGCUUAUGGAGACACCAGACUGACGAAUCAAUCAGACUGUAGAGCUUUGUGCGGGAUUAGUGGAGCGACAGGUUGAACUUAGUCAGGAACUGUAAUACAACAAAUAAAACUGACUAAUAUCUAACCAGCUUACUAUGUUUAUGUUAUCAAUCUGGAAUCGAAUGAACUUGUAUAACUCUCAGCCCUCCCUUUUCUAGCCCGCCCAUUCCUGCACGCGUACACCUUUCAUGUCACGAUAGGCUGGAGAGUGGCGGAUCAAAGGGGAGGGGAUCCGGGGGUUGGAACCCCUUUUUUUGGACGAUCAAUGCAUUUCAAUGGGUAAUUAUGGUUUGAGUCCCCCUUUUUUAAAUGG